GUACUGUUGAGGAAUUCCACAAUAAGACGAAACGGCCGUCCAGUAC
rfam:Schistosoma haematobium scaffold231_14, whole genome shotgun sequence.